rnacentral:rRNA from 1 species
AACGAACGCUGGCGGCAGGCCUAACACAUGCAAGUCGAGCGCCCUUUCGGUGGAGCGUCGGACUGGUGGGUAGCGCGUGGGAAUAUGCCCUUCUCUACGGAAUAGCCUCCGUAAACUUAGAGUAAUACCUUAUACGCCCUGCGGUGGUAAGAUUUAUCGGGGAAGGAUUAGGCCGCGUUGUAUUAGGUAGUUGGUGGGGUAAUUGCGUACCAAGCCGAAGAUCCAUAGCUGGGUUGAGAGGAUGAGCAGAGACACUGGGAGUGAGACGCGGUCCAGAAUCUUACGGGAAGCAGGAGUGGGGGAUCCAAGAAAACGGGGGCAAUGAUGAAGGAGCCAGGCUGGGUGAGUGAUGAAGUCCGUAGGGUUGUAAAGCAGGUUCAGAUGGGAAGAUAAUGACGGUACCAGAAGAAGAAGCACCGGCUAACUUCGUG